AGCAGCCGCGGUAAUUCCAGCUCCAAUAGCGUAUAUUAAAGUUGCUGCAGUUAAAAAGCUCGUAGUUGAAUUUCGGGACCAUCAUGUCGGUCGUGCCUCGGUACGUACUGGCAUUGUUGGUUUCUACCUUCUGACGAACCAUGAUGUCAUUUAUUUGGUGUCGUGGGAAAUCAGGACUGUUACUUUGAAAAAAUUAGAGUGUUUAAAGCAGGCUCACGCUUGAAUACAUUAGCAUGGAAUAAUGAAAUAGGACGUUUGAUUCUAUUUUGUUGGUUUCUAGGAUCGACGUAAUGAUUAAUAGGGAUAGUUGGGGGCAUUAGUAUUCAAUUGUCAGAGGUGAAAUUCUUGGAUUUUAUUGAAGACUAACUACUGCGAAAGCAUUUGCCAAGGAUGUUUUCAUUAAUCAAGAACGAAAGUUAGGGGAUCGAAGACGAUCAGAUACCGUCGUAGUCUUAACCAUAAACUAUG
rnacentral:rRNA from 1 species